AUGUCUGGAAGCACGGGAGAACGUUCUUUUGCUGAUAUUAUUACCAGUAUUCGAUACUGGGUUAUUCAUAGCAUUACUAUACCUUCCCUAUUCAUUGGUUUGUUAUUUUUCAGUACAUGUUUAGCUUAUGACGUGUUUGGAAGUCCUAGGCCAAACGAGUAUUUCACGGAAAGCCGACAAGGAAUUCCAUUAAUAACCGACCGUUUUGAUUCUUUAGAACAACUCGAUGAAUUUAGUAGAUCCUUUUAG
rnacentral:rRNA from 1 species